rnacentral:rRNA from 1 species
AACCCUGACGCAGCAACGCCGCGUGGGUGAUGAAGGUCUUCGGAUUGUAAAGCCCUGUUUUCUGGGACGAUAAUGACGGUACUAGAGGAGGAAGCCACGGCUAACUACGUGCCAGCAGCCGCGGUAAUACGUAGGUGGCGAGCGUUGUCCGGAUUUACUGGGCGUAAAGGGUGCGUAGGCGGAUGUUUAAGUGGGAUGUGAAAUCCCCGGGCUUAACCUGGGGGCUGCAUUCCAAACUGGAUAUCUAGAGUGCAGGAGAGGAAAGCGGAAUUCCUAGUGUAGCGGUGAAAUGCGUAGAGAUUAGGAAGAACACCAGUGGCGAAGGCGGCUUUCUGGACUGUAACUGACGCUGAGGCACGAAAGCGUGGGUAGCAAACAGGAUUAGAUACCCUGGUAGUCCACGCCGUAAACGAUGGAUACUAGGUGUAGGGGGUAUCAACUCCCCCUGUGCCGCAGUUAACACAAUAAGUAUCCCGCCUGGGGAGUACGGUCGCAAGAUUAAAACUCAAAGGAAUUGACGGGGGCCCGCACAAGCAGCGGAGCAUGUGGUUUAAUUCGAAGCAACGCGAAGAACCUUACCUGGACUUGACAUCCCUUGCAUAGCCUAGAGAUAGGUGAAGCCCUUCGGGGCAAGGAGACAGGUGGUGCAUGGUUGUCGUCAGCUCGU